rnacentral:lncRNA from 1 species
AGAAUUUUUGGGUACAGUAGAAAUUAAACCACAAGGGGUUAAAGAGAAAGUUUUUGUUACGACAAACGCACAAACGGAAACGAAAUGACAAACAAAAAAACAAUCAAACCACAAGCAGAAAAAUAAAGAGACACAGAUUUACGUGGAAAACCCUUUUGCAGAGAAAAAUCACGGGCGAGGGAGGAGAGGACUUCACUAUGGAAUGAAAAAGGAAUACAAUGUUCUUCAGGUUACAGCCAACCACGAUCACACGCUUCUAGGGCAUAAACGAUAAACGAAAAAGAAAAACUCAUAACGGGUUUUGGAUCCGAUCCGUACCGCGGGGGGCUCCGCUACCCACCACAGACAUUCAUUUUUCCUCCAUAAUUUUCUUUUCCAAAUUGGUCGCACCGCGAAGCUGUCGGCGAGUCGUAAACCCGAACCUGAAUCGAUAGUAGAUUUCGAGUCACAUCUAACAGUUUUCAAACCAUAGGAU